AACGUAGGGGUCGAGCGUUAUCCGGAAUUACUGGGCGUAAAGCGCGUGCAGGCGGUUGUCCAAGUCGGACGUGAAAGCUCCUGGCUCAACUGGGAGAGGCCGUUCGAAACGGGGCAACUAGAGCGUGGUAGAGGCGAGUGGAAUUCCCGGUGUAGUGGUGAAAUGCGUAGAUAUCGGGAGGAACACCAGAGGCGAAAGCGGCUCGCUGGGCCACGACUGACGCUCAGACGCGAAAGCUAGGGGAGAGAACGGG
rnacentral:misc_RNA from 1 species